GGACGGGUAUUUUAUAUACUGUAUUUUUAAAUCAACCAAAUGGAUUGAACACGUUAACCCAGUGUUCCUAGGCCGUCAUUGAAAAUCAGAAUUUGUUCUUAACUGACUUGCCUAGUUAAAUGAAGGAUAAACAACAACAAAAAAUCAUAGUUUUCACAGUUAUUUAAUGUGAUGGGAGGACCAAGAAGAAGAAAGAUUAGCACUUCUCCUUGUGUAAUAACAUGUUUUCAUUAUACCACUGGCUGUAACUGUGUUAACGAUUGAUUUCAGGAAAACGAGAUGCAUCGCAGAUCUACCUGUCUGUUUCUCUCUGCUUCACCUGUCUCACUGCCCUCCACGCUGGUUUUCCGAUGACAGACAGACAGCUACCUAGCCUAAACCCCCGCCUCCCUCUGAAUCGGUAUCUCCCUGGAAUGUUCCAGAAUGCCUGAACUUAGCAUGCCUGCUGCUGUUUGUGUUAUCUUUAUCAAUCAAUAUGACUAUAUGAUUUAAGUUAUGAUAUUGAUCAUUUUGGCUGAUGGACUGAGAGGAAUAAGCUAUUGACUGACUCCAUGCUUGAUGACUUUACAAUCACAGAGAGCUGUUGACUGACUCCAUGCUUGAUGACUUUACAAUCACAGAGAGCUGUUGACUUCAGAUACUGGAUGACUUUCAAACACAACCACCAAAGUUGUGCUUCUUUGGAAAACCGUUCUAAAACCAAACCUGCUGGUUGAAAUAUGACAUUGCAGGAUGGUGAUGAAUCAACUGGAGGCUGGCUGGCUGCUGAAGGAUGGAUGAACACAAUGGACUCAACUUCCACAUUGUUCUGUUCAUAACUCAUCAGUCUUUGGUCUACGCCUCACAAACACAUCAAGUAUCUACUAUUAAAUGUGAGCUGGGUUUUCACUGUUGGAAAUGGAUGGACUGUUUCAGGAAAAACCUUCAAGUCACAUCAUAUAUGCAAUCUAAGACUUACUAAACCAGUUGACUUAGUUGGCUUACUGCAACACAAGAAUCAUUACUGACCACCUACUUCUGUGUUGGACUACUAGGUGAAACAGCCAUUCUGUUAGAAGGAACAACAUUACAAUGUGAUGGACUACUAGGUGGAACAGCCAUUCUGUUAGAAGGAACAACGUUACAAUGUGAUGGACUACUAGGUGAAACAGCCAUUCUGUUAGAAGGAACAACGUUACAAUGUGAUGGACUACUAGGUGAAACAACCAUUCUGUUAGAAGGAACAACAUUACAAUGUGAUGGACUACUAGGUAGCUGGGAGUUGCUGCUGUUAAACCAACCGGGAGACUCACAACAUCCAUCCUGGACAGGAACCAGGGACUGGAGGUCUCUCCUCUUUCUGUGGGCAGCUGUGGGCCUCUUGGGCCUGAUUUCAUCUGGAGGGGGAGCACGAGGUACAACAUGCAGGGAGGGGAACGCUGAGGGCCUGAAAGAGGAGGCCAUCACUGGGGCCUGGCUGACCUCUUCUCUCUCCAGCAGCACUCUGUUAGAAGGACAGAGCAGCGGAACACCGAUGGACCUUGGUCCUCCAGACCCAUUCAGGUUGGGCCUCCUAUUCAUCAUUCACUGGUCUGCAGGAUUCUAA
rnacentral:lncRNA from 1 species